rnacentral:rRNA from 1 species
UCAGCCGCCGCGGUAAUACGGAGGAUGCAAGCGUUAUCCGGAUUCAUUGGGUUUAAAGGGUGCGUAGGCGGCUUUUUAAGUCAGUGGUGAAAUCUUGCCGCUUAACGGUAAAAUUGCCAUUGAUACUGAUAAGCUUGAGUACAAUUGAGGUAAGCGGAAUGUGUAGUGUAGCGGUGAAAUGCUUAGAUAUUACACAGAACACCGAUUGCGAAGGCAGCUUACUAAACUGUUACUGACGCUGAUGCACGAAAGCGUGGGGAGCGAACAGGAUUAGAUACCCUGGUAGUCCACGCCGUAAACGAUGAUCACUCGCUGUAUGCGAUACACAGUAUGCGGCCAAGCGAAAGCAUUAAGUGAUCCACCUGGGGAGUACGAUCGCAAGGUUGAAACUUAAAGGAAUUGGCGGGGGA